GACCCCAUCGUCUAGGCUGGCCUAGGACGUCACCCUUUCAAGGUGAAAACGCGGGUUCGAAUCCCGCUGGGGUCA
rnacentral:tRNA from 1 species